UGGGGAAUAUUGCACAAUGGGCGCAAGCCUGAUGCAGCCAUGCCGCGUGUGUGAAGAAGGCCUUCGGGUUGUAAAGCACUUUCAGCGGGGAGGAAGGCGUUAAGGUUAAUAACCUUGGCGAUUGACGUUACUCGCAGAAGAAGCACCGGCUAACUCCGUGCCAGCAGCCGCGGUAAAUCGGAGGGUGCAACCGUUAAUCGGAAUUACUGGCCGUAAAGCGCACGCAGGCGGUCUGUCAAGUCGGAUGUGAAAUCCCCGGGCUCAACCUGGGAACUGCAUUCGAAGCUGGCAGGCUAAGGUCUUGUUGAGGGGGGUAGAAUUCCAGGUGUGGCGGUGAAAUGCGUAGGAAUCUGGAGGAAUACCGGUGGCGAAGGCGGCCCCCUGGACAAAGACUGACGCUCAGGUGCGAAAGCGUGGGGAGCAAACAGG
rnacentral:rRNA from 1 species